GAAAUGCGAUAAGUAAUGUGAAUUGCAGAAUUCAGUGAAUCAUCGAAUCUUUGAACGCACAUUGCGCCCGCCAGUAUUCUGGCGGGCAUGCCUGUCCGAUCGUCAUUUCAACCAUCAAGCCCCCGGGCUUGUGUUGGGGACCUGCGGCUGCCCGCAGGCCCUGAAAACCAGUGGCGGGCUCGCUGUCACACCGAGCGUAGUAGCAAUCACCUCGCUCAGGGCGUGCUGCGGGUUCCGGCCGUUAAACAGCCUUACAAAACCCAAGGUUGACCUCGGAUCAGGUAGGAAGACCCGCUGAACUUAAGC
rnacentral:misc_RNA from 1 species